AUUCAAGCCCCGACCCUGUCCUGGGCACCCUCGGACCUGCCUGAGGCCCGCGGCCCGGGGCCAGCCGUUCGCCAGACGCGCCGGGCAGGUGAAGCUCACCGUAGGCAUCGCACGUGCCUUGUGUGUGCUGCCGCGGUCUCCCUGCACCUUCAGAGCAAUCUUGUGAGGCAAACGACGUUAAACGUGUUUAGAGUAUGGAAAGCAAAUGCAAAAAAAAAAAAAAAAGAAUAAGGAUUUUGUUAAGCUCAUGCAGUCCAUAUGGGCACAGUUGAGACUUCACAGCUCGGAUCCCAGGUGAGACAUUGUCCUCCACCUCCCCGCUCGCCAGACUUUUGCAGUGUCGGCAUUCUGCAGUGCUACCCUGUACUUUUUAAACUUCCUCUUGUUUCCUCUUUUCAUCGUUUCUCCCUUCCCCAUACACUGUAAUGUGCUAGUCUUAGAAUAAAAACAAGCUUCCCCUAUCCCAUUCUGAAUUUUUCAAUGUAGCUAAUAAAGUCCAGCCGCUUGACCAUCCUAGAUGUAUGGCCAAAACAACUGAUUCCCCACACACACCCCCAAACAUGCUUCUCCCUAACCUUUCCCGUCUCAGUGAACGGCAGCACUGACUGCCCAGUGGCUUAAUAAAAAAAUCUAGGUGUACUCUCAGUUUUGCUUUUCCUCACCCUCAAGAUCCAAUCCAAUCUAUCAGCAAGUCAUGUUGCUUUGACCUUCGAAACACACCGCAAAUCCAUUCACUUCUCUCCAGCCCAACUCUUUCUGCAGUCUUUUCUUGCCUGAUGGAAUUGACUACUGAAAUUCCCCCUCCUCACACCGCUUCCAUUUUUGCCCCAGUGCAAUCCAUUCUAUGCACAGCACCCAGAGUGACCUUUUAAAAAUAGGAGCCAGAUGCCAGGCACUGUGGCUCACGCCUGUAAUUCCAGCACUUCGGGAGCCCAAAGAGGGUAGAUCACUUGACCAGCCGAGGCAACAUGGUGAAACCCCGUCUCUACUAAAAGUACAAAAAUUAGCUGGCCGUGGUGGUUUGCACCGCUAGUCCCAGCUACUCUGCAGGCUGAGACAGGAGGAUUGCUUGAGCCUGGGAGUCUGAAGUUGCAGUGAGUUGAGAUUGUACCACUGCACUGUAGCCUGGGUGACAGAGCAAGACUCUGUCUCAAAAAACAAACAAACAAAAAAACAUGGAAUCCAGUCAAGCCCCUUUUCUGCUUCAACCCUCCUUUCUAUAGCCUCGGCCUGACCACCUCACAGCCCAUCGCCCUCCUUUCUUGUUCUCUGUCCUCCAGAUACUUUGGCCUUUCAGUGUAUUUGAGUCAUAUGCUCCUCCUUCCUUUGGGCCCUUCACCCAUGCAGUUUUUCCACUGAAAAUGCUCUUCCUUCCUCCAAGUACUUUUCUCCUAUACAAAAUUCUAAUUUCAGCUUAACUAUCCCUUUCGUAGAGAAGCCUUCUCUGACCACUCCCUAGACAACUAGAUGGGCUCUCCGUGUGAAACACUGCCAUGGUGCUAGCUUAGAGUUUGUAAGGACAUGUUGACUUGAUGUCUUUUCACCAAAGGACUGACCACUCCAUGUGUUGUUUGGUACUUGCUGAAUGAAUGGAUUUGUCUGUAUUGCUGAGUGCCGCAUAUACCUUGAGGUCAGAGAAUGUGUCUUAUUAGUCCUUCAGUGCUUGGUACAUAGUAGACAAUUUUUUUAAAAGUUUGUUGAAUGAAGGGAUAGGAUGAGGAACACUCCAAAUAGUCUUUACUGUCUUACUGUAACUGCACUCCUAUCUCAUAUCUAAUGCUUCUCAUUUACUAGAAAAUAGUAGUACUAGGCUGGGUGCUGU
rnacentral:lncRNA from 10 species